UUGGUGCCAUUAACAUAUAAAAAGAGAGAACAAUCAGUUUACCAGACGCUGCUGGGGGAACUGGGGGAUGUGGGGAUUCUUUAAAACAAGUCACUUUGACCGGGAUUGGUUUGCUUUAAGAUUAUGUAGCUUGAAAAAUAAUCAGGGAUUUUUAAAAAAAACAUUAUAAAAGUAUUUGUGUUGUAUUCAAAGUCUUCUGAAGUCAUACAAUAAGUUUCUGUGAAAAGUUUCAACAUUGAGGUAUUAAUAACUGAAAAUGAUUCCACUCCAUAAACACAGUCAUCAUAAAAUACAGCUGAAUUUGAGUUUGAGAUAAAAGACAUCAAAACUGACGUAAUAAAUGUCCCUGUCCACAGCGUCUGUUGAUGCAAAGGUAUCUCAAAGAAACCAGUGAAAUACCCUGCACAUGGAAAAACUGCACUAAAUGGACAAACUACAAAUUUACGACAAGGGCUCCUGACCAAGAGUCAAGGAUUGAGAAAGUGUAAAAAUGGUCCCCAAUGAGACUGUGAAUUGUGACGCCUGUUUGGUUGCCUUUACAUUUAUCAAUAUUUCAUAUUCUGUUUAUCUAUGAAACAACAAUGUUGAUAAUAACACUAAAACAGCCAUUCUUGCCAUCAGAAAUAGUUAAACUUAAGUAAAAACAUAAGACAUAGAGUGACUCGUCAGGUCGAGAUGCAAUACAUAAGAGAAUGGCCAGCACGCUGAUGACUGGUCAUACAGAAGCUGAUCAUACAGAUGACCGUCCAUACAGACCGCAUCAUACAGACAGUGAUCACAUCCUGAUGUAACCCAUCGCUCUCCAGCUGGAGGAAGUGCGGCUUUAUAAUCACAGAACAUUCACUCACUAUUAAAAUGAUUCUGUCUGCUAGAAGGGAGAACAUAUCCUACAACAUGAAAAAGUCAAGUCAACAGUUCACAUUGUUCACUCUAAACAAGAAUUUCACUUCAUCAGAAAGUUCAGUCCUCAAAAAAAGGGACCAGCUUUAACGUUUAAACCUGUGAGUUUUGGCUGUCCAUGUUAAAGACUGGAAAU